ACCCGGCCGAAUUUACUGUUUUUACAUUCCUUAUAGUAUGCUUGAACGUUGAAUAAACAAUAAAGUUCUAAAGACAAUAUUUUAGCUUGAUAAUUGAUCUGUAAUUGUGUCUACUGAUAUAUUGAAAAAUUUACCUUAUCACGAGAAAAUGAAUUUUUCGUGAACGCUUUUCUCGGUCUAAAAUCCGUAUAAACUCGCUAAUUAUGCAACGCAUAGACAUGAAACUUUAACCAGUAGUGAAUAAUGCAUUACUCUUCAAUACUGUCUGCCAAUUUUUCAAUUAAAUAGAUAAUUUUUGAGAAAUCUGUAAUAUUGAAUUUCGUAAGUAAACCGGGCAAGCGGGUGUCUGCGCGGGCGACGAGGAGCAUUCGCCUCUCGGCCGUUGUAUGAGGACCUUGUGUCGUUUGAUGCGACGCGCGCGCAUUUAUUGUUUAUUAUUUUAUUUUUAUUGACCCCACAAUUUUGACAUUUGUGUGAUAGGACACUGUAGACACUUUAGUUUUACAAGUGAACGAAAGGACGCAUUUACUUAUUUGCUUGUGCAAAUACUGUUUAUUUAGUUUUAUAAGCGAGCGAAAGGACGAAAUAACUACCUAUUUGUUUACUUGUGUAAAUUGAAUAUGCCGAAAGUAUCAAAAGUGAAAUGAUAUCAGCAACAAAGGCUCACGGAAAUAAAAAUCGCAGUAGCUCAAAGAAAAAGACAGGUACUACAACAACUCGAUGGAAAUAUAGAAAACCAAGAUUUAACUUCAGAAAAUUGUCAACUUCGAACUUGCGAUGUCACACAGACUACCUUCAAAAAAGUGCCACAAGGUCUAGAUUUAACUACGCCUAUGGCACAUAAGAAUAAGUUUGCAGAGUCAACUAAUGGGUUUAAUUCAACCUAUUGUCAGGGAUUAGAAAGUGAAGAAAAAGAGGUAUUUCCAUUUUAGUUAUCACUGUAUUAUUUUACCUUUCACAUUUUCUUUCUGGUAAACAAAUAAAAUAUGUGUUCAACUUUUUGUUCUCGAUUCAGUUAUUUUUUUAAUUUCAGUAUACUGUUACU